rnacentral:lncRNA from 1 species
GCACGCUUGGGUCAUCUCUGGGUUUUGUCACGAUGACGUAGAAACUGCCAGGUGGUUUCGGGUAGUGAUGGAUUUCUCAGGUCGGAGUCCCUGGCAGGCAGGAAGUCCCUUUGCCCGCCUCUGGCUCUCUCUCCGACUACAGCCCCCCGGAGCUCCCGCCUUGUCUAAAUCUCCCCGGCGACACCCACAGGCAAGGCCCAGAGAAGGAUGAGAGGUGGCCCGAGGUUGCGCAGCAGCUCAGCGUCGUGGCUGGGCUUUGGGGGCAAAAGGCUAGGUCUGUGUUGGCAAAGGGAGGCCUGGCUGCCAGGUGGGAGUCCCAAACAAAUUUGGUCCCAAGUCUUGGCGAUCACUGGGGCAGAGGUCUAAUAAUGUGGACACCGGGGAUAAUAUUUGGAGGGGGGUACAUCUGUUCAUUCCACAGUCGCUGAGCCCUACUCUCUGCCAGCUCCUGGGCUCAGGGCUGAGGACUCAGAAAUGGGACAUUUCUCUCCUCGGGGAGAUUGCUGUGUGUGGGGUCAGGGCCGUGGGACUCUGGACCCCACGUGACCUCUGUGCCUCGCUGUUCUCUCCUACCCAGUGCAGUUGUCGGGAUAGGGCCUCCUAGGGUCCCCGUGAGGCUGUGGGCCUGUGUGAAGCGCCCAGCACGGUGCCGUGCCCAGGUAGGCUCUCCAGAGAGGCUGCUGUGACCCUUCAUGUGCUUGUGAUUCUCAUCUGCCAUGGAGAGGCCACUUUGGACGUUACCUGUGUGUUCCGCCGUGACUCUGGGAGGAUCCCUAGCAGGACCAAGCAAGAUCUUGCCUAUGGAAGCGCUUUGGAGGUCGCGAGACCUCUGUUAAGAGAGGGCACGAGGGGGACGCCUGGGUGGCGCAGUCGGUUGAGCGUCCGACUUCAGCCAGGUCACGAUCUCGCGGUCCGUGAGUUCGAGCCCCGCGUCGGGCUCUGGGCUGAUGGCUCAGAGCCUGGAGCCUGCUUCCGAUUCUGUGUCUCCCUCUCUCUCUGCCCCUCCCCCGUUCAUGCUCUGUCUCUCUCUGUCCCAAAAUUAAAUAAAUGUUGAAAAAAAAUUUUUUAAAAUAAAAAAUAUAAAAAUAAAAUAAAAUAAAAAAAA